GUAGGGAAUCUUGCGCAAUGGGCGAAAGCCUGACGCAGCCAUGCCGCGUGAAUGAUGAAGGUCUUAGGAUUGUAAAAUUCUUUCACCGGGGACGAUAAUGACGGUACCCGGAGAAGAAGCCCCGGCUAACUUCGUGCCAGCAGCCGCGGUAAUACGAAGGGGGCUAGCGUUGCUCGGAAUUACUGGGCGUAAAGGGCGCGUAGGCGGACAGCUUAGUCAGAGGUGAAAGCCCAGGGCUCACCUUGGAAUUGCCUUUGAUACUGGCUGUCUUGAGUUUGGGAGAGGUGAGUGGAACUCCGAGUGUAGAGGUGAAAUUCGUAGAUAUUCGGAAGAACACCAGUGGCGAAGGCGACUCACUGGCCCAAUACUGACGCUGAGGCGCGAAAGCGUGGGGAGCAAACAGGAUUAGAAACCCUGGUAGUCC
rnacentral:rRNA from 1 species